GAUGAACGCUGGCGGCGUGCCUAAUACAUGCAAGUCGAGCGAACAGAUGAGGAGCUUGCUCCUCUGACGUUAGCGGCGGACGGGUGAGUAACACGUGGAUAACCUACCUAUAAGACUGGGAUAACUUCGGGAAACCGGUGCUAAUACCGUAUAAUAUAUUGAACCGCAUGGUUCAAUAGUGAAAUACGGUUUUGUUGUCACUUAUAGAUGUAUCCGCGACGCAUUAGCUAGUUGGUAAGGUAACGGCUUACCAAGGCAACGAUGCGUAGCCGACCUGCGAGUGUGAUAGGCCACACUGGAACUGAGACACGGUCCAGACUCCGACGGGAGGCAGCAGUAGGGAAUCUUACGCAAUGGGCGAGAGCCUGACGGAGCAACGACGCGUGAGUGAUGAAGGUCUUCGGAUCGUAAAACUCUGUUAGUAGGGAAGAACAAAUGUGUAAGAAACUAUGCACGUCUUGACGGUACCUAAUCAGAAAGCCACGGCUAACUACGUG
rnacentral:rRNA from 1 species